rnacentral:rRNA from 1 species
GCGAGCGGCGGAUGGGUGAGUAACACGUGGGGAACCUGCCCCUAAGUCUGGGAUACCAUUUGGAAACAGGUGCUAAUACCGGAUAAUAAAGCAGAUCGCAUGAUCAGCUUUUGAAAGGCGGCGUAAGCUGUCGCUAAGGGAUGGCCCCGCGGUGCAUUAGCUAGUUGGUAAGGUAACGGCUUACCAAGGCGACGAUGCAUAGCCGAGUUGAGAGACUGAUCGGCCACAUUGGGACUGAGACACGGCCCAAACUCCUACGGGAGGCAGCAGUAGGGAAUCUUCCACAAUGGACGCAAGUCUGAUGGAGCAACGCCGCGUGAGUGAAGAAGGUUUUCGGAUCGUAAAGCUCUGUUGUUGGUGAAGAAGGAUAGAGGUAGUAACUGGCCUUUAUUUGACGGUAAUCAACCAGAAAGUCACGGCUAACUACGUGCCAGCAGCCGCGGUAAUACGUAGGUGGCAAGCGUUGUCCGGAUUUAUUGGGCGUAAAGCGAGCGCAGGCGGAAAAAUAAGUCUAAUGUGAAAGCCCUCGGCUUAACCGAGGAACUGCAUCGGAAACUGUUUUUCUUGAGUGCAGAAGAGGAGAGUGGAACUCCAUGUGUAGCGGUGGAAUGCGUAGAUAUAUGGAAGAACACCAGUGGCGAAAGGCGGCUCUCUGGUCUGCAACUGACGCCUGAGGCUCGAAAGCAUGGGUAGCGAAACAGGAUUAGAUACCCUGGUAGU